UACAGAGGGUGCAAACGUUGUUCGGAAUUACUGGGCGUAAAGCGAGUGCAGGCGGUCUUGUAAGUCGGGUGUGAAAGCCCUGGGCUCAACCCAGGAAGUGCACUCGAAACUGCGAGGCUAGAGUACUGGAGAGGUUGGUGGAAUUCUCGGUGUAGAGGUGAAAUUCGUAGAUAUCGGGUGGAACACCUGUGGCGAAGGCGGCCAUCUGGACGUCAACUGACGCUGAGACGCGAAAGCAUGGGGAGCAAACAGG
rnacentral:rRNA from 1 species